ensembl:lncRNA
CGCAGAGCAAAGCCCGUCUUACGUGGGAAGCGGGCAGACCGAUAUCACUUGGAGGGUCGUAAAAGUUAAACACGGAUGUAACAGGCCUCUGCAAUCAUAUUAUCUCUAACGUAUGAAAAGCAGGAUUCAAAGAGAAACAUGGGUUAGGAGCACAGGACACAGAGCCGCAGACACCUUCUGGGCUGGUGAUUCAGCAGUUCUUUCAGCGCUUACCGCACCCAGACCCACAGGCAGUGAUGACAGCCUCUGCCCGUCAGCUUCCUCUCUUUCUUGAUGGUUUCGGGGGGUCAAAGCAGACCUAAAGUUCUUCAGAAAUGCCAGGAAGAGAAGCUGUGAGGCCCACUGCCCACUUCAUGGCAGGCUGGUCACGGAAACUUUCAAAGACAAGCGGGUUUGCUCCAUGCCCUCUGACGGCCGGUCCCCGCAUGCUGUUUGCUGCCGACUUCAUCACACAGCCUCACGACUUGCAGCACAACUGUUUGAUUUGUUUUGACUCAAAUUUCCCCUCUCUCAACAGUCUGAGUUGUGUUAAAGGAAAGGAGCCGGACGGAGUCCAAGCCCUGCGAUUCGGUGUUUGCAGUGGGAGGAGAUGUGGGGUCUGUGUGCACGUGUGUGCAUGUGUGUGCAUGGGUGUGUGCACGCGUGCCUGCCCACUCCCCACCUUUCAAACAGCUCUGGAAACUGGAUCAGAAAAUGUUUACUCUGAUCAUCUUGAGGGGGCCGGGGGGACAGGAUGAUGAAGGACCUGGUGUCUACAGUGGCUGUGGCAGGCUACCUAGAGCAGAGGAAGCGGGGCAUUGAGGGGAGUGGGCCCAUGCUCUCUGGGGUCCUUUCCUCCUGCCGUCAGCUCUCCAAGUCCUGCUGUCGCCUGCUGACCUCUAGGCGGGUCAGACCUCGAUAGGGACACAACUGCAGCCCAUACUAGGGUGGUGCCCUGAACACUGGAUUCAGCCACGGAUUCAGGAGAGCUGAGUGUCACGGAGACCCUGCGGACACACUCACUGCUGGGGAGAAGGUUGGGUCCAGACCAGCCUUGGAGUGGGCUGGUGGCUCAGCCAAGCUCAGGUGUGGAGGCUUCGCCAGAAAGGUGUAUGAUGGAGCUGACACCUGGGACAGUCAUGAAGGGCUCUAUUUUUUAGUGGCUCAAGUUAUCGGCACAAUUUUAUUAUCUGGACUGUUUGCACAUUCCAAAAUAUGUUUGAGGGAACAAGACAACUUCCAAACAGCUGAGAUUUGGUGCCAAAUUACUAAAAGGGAAAAAUGAUUGGGAAUUUUAGAAGAGCUGCCAUAAAGCAGUCCUGUAACAACUGGUUUUAUAAACCAACUUUGCUCAGAAAGAAAUAAGUAUACAGGGAUCCCAACAAUAAAUUCAUUGUUUUGAAAUAAUGUAUGGUUUCCGUACCUACUUUUAAAAUAUAUCCAAAGGCAGGAAACAAGGUCCUCCAGAGAGAAAAGAGGGUCAGGAAGCUUUUCACAACAUCCAUGGCCAAGUAGACCCCCUAAAAUCAAAGCAUAAAGCGAGUAAUAAAAUCGCUAAUAUUUGCAUUCUGCUUAAAAGUUAAAAAUCUUUAAUAUACAGACAGACUUGGAUCCAGAAACCAAGAUUAAAUCAUGGAUCAACUUCUGUUCCUUUGUGUAGCAGUUUUUGGUGAUGGCUAUUUUUUUGACUGUGAAAGUAACAUAUACUACUGAAAGGUUAAGGAAAGAACCAUCAAAAAUAAGUGCAAAUUCCAUUAAUGAUUUUGAGAAAAAUGCACAUUAUUUACACUGGGGAGUUUUGACUGUGGUCAUGCAUAUAAGAGUAUUUCACGAGUGCCGUGCCCAAGUGUGAACAAGUGUGUGUGUGUCUAGUCACAGAAUAGGAGACGUGCUUUCUCCACCACAUCCUGGCACAGAGUCACCUGGAUCACCGGAUCCCGUCCGUGGUGGGGGGUAAGAAGCCGGCAGGUCAGGACUCUGCUUUGCGGCCCCACCCUGCCCCCAGCUGCUCCGUGUCCCACCGUCCUUGUGACGUGGGGGCUUGUCCUCGGUGGUUGUGAAGAUGCAGUGUGGAUGGCAUGAGAGGCUCAGAUCAAGCCCUGGACGCUGCCGGCCACGGUGACGGAGUCAGGGGACCACACUCAGUCUACCGCAUUGCAUGGGCCUCGUUUGUUCUCCCUUCUCCAAACCCCUGUCUGUUUCUGAUGUUUUUUUUUUCUGAAACAAACACACUCACAGCUUUUUUAUUUCUUACUUACCCAGAAUGGAUUCUUGUAUGUGAAGCUGUUGCAUCAAAAUAUAUGGUGCUUGAAAUGGUUCUGUGGUCUUUUAUACAUAUAAUUUUUAUUUAUUUAUUUGG